rnacentral:rRNA from 1 species
CCUACGGGUGGCAGCAGUGAGGAAUAUUGGUCAAUGGGCGGAAGCCUGAACCAGCCAAGUAGCGUGAAGGAUGACGGCCCUACGGGUUGUAAACUGCUUUUAUACGGGAAUAACGCGCCUUACGUGUAGGGCUUUGCAUGUACCGUAUGAAUAAGGACCGGCUAAUUCCGUGCCAGCAGCCGCGGUAAUACGGAAGGUCCGGGCGUUAUCCGGAUUUAGUGGGUUUAAAGGGCGCGUAGGCCGCAGGUUAAGCGUGCUGUGAAAUGUUCGGGCUCAACCCGGGCCUUGCAGUGCGAACUGGCUUGCUUGAGUCCGCGGAAGGCAGGCGGAAUUCGUGGUGUAGCGGUGAAAUGCUUAGAUAUGACGAAGAACCCCGAUUGCGAAGGCAGCUUGCUGCAGCGGAACUGACGCUGAUGCUCGAAAGCGCGGGUAUCGAACAGGAUUAGAUACCCUAGUAGUC